rnacentral:lncRNA from 10 species
AAUAGACUGAGAAAGCAAUUCAGUAUGAUUUUUGGACAUUUUAUAGUGUUCAAAUCAGAGCUUUAAAUGUGUGUGUGUGUGUAUGUCUGUGUGUAUGCUGGUGUGCAUGUGUGCAUGUAGGGGUGUGUGUGUGUGUGUGUGUGUGCUCUAUUUUAGUAUUUCACAAGGAUUCUGUUUAGGGAACAGAAAAGAAUGCAGUUG